ACAACUAAAAUCAUUGUUGUCAUCACAGUGAACAGCCUUCACUGAAUAAACUGGUCAGCAUGUCUUCAGUCAGUUGUAAUAGACUGUGACUUCCUUCAGUGUCCUGUUAAGUGGUUUUUUGAUCAGAGAAGAGAGAGGAAAGAAAUACAUCUAUGUCAAAAUUCAAGCAAACAGGGAUCAAGAGUUUUUCAGGAAAAUUAUGGCAACAUCAUAUGUAAGAAAUCCCUUAAAUAUAUCUAGAGGUAUAG
rnacentral:lncRNA from 1 species